rnacentral:misc_RNA from 1 species
GAUGAAGAACGUAGCGAAAUGCGAUAAGUAAUGUGAAUUGCAGAAUUCAGUGAAUCAUCGAAUCUUUGAACGCACAUUGCGCCCGCUAGUAUUCUGGCGGGCAUGCCUGUCCGAGCGUCAUUUCAACCAUCAAGCCCCCGGGCUUGGUGUUGGGGAUCGGCGAGCCUCCGCGCCCGCCGUCCCCUAAAUCUAGUGGCGGUCUCGCUGUAGCUUCCUCUGCGUAGUAGCACACCUCGCACUGGGAAACAGCGCGGCCACGCCGUUAAACCCCCAACUUCUGAACGUUUGACCUCGGAUCAGGUAGGAAUACCCGCUGAACUUAAGCAUAUCAAUAAGCGGAGGA